UUUAUUUUUAAUUUUUUAAAAUCAUUUAGUAAUAAUUGUAUUGUGUUAUCUUGAACAAAAAUAUGUAAUACUCAUAUUAUCAAUCGUAUGAUAAAAUUUACAUUUGCCCAUGAUAAAACCAAUUUAGAAAAUAAAUAUUUAUUCUCAAAGCUGUUCAAUUUGUCUUGCUUAUCAACCGCUCUAAUCAAAAACUCUAAUCUAAAAAAAAAAAACCUGGUUCAGACAAAAAAUUAUAGACAUUAUAUAUUAAUUGACACUGAUGAUUUUUUUAAAAAUCUUGUUACCAGUAUUUCAUAAGUUUUUAAAAAAUAUUUUUAUACAGAGAAUAUAGUAAUUUUCUAAGAUAAUCGGGUUGUCUGAAAAGUUCAUAAGGAAAUUCUGAUUAAAUUACAUAUUCAUUAACGGUCGACGUCCAACUCGUAUUCGUCAUGCUAGCUGUCCUGGGUUUGAAUCCCGCCACAGUUCAUGGUUUUUUAAUUGAUAAUAGUAUGAAAGAAGUAUUUUAAAGUGGUUUGGCCACUUGUAAGCGACACCCAAUGAGCAGUUGGACAUUGAGUCAUCUGGUGUGUGAACAACAAACCUGUAUACCAUCUUUUUGACGGCUUCAUUAUCACACCUUUCCUGUUAGCCAGCUAUUCUUGAAAGAGACUGAAGUGCCACUACCUUCCAAUCCUGUCAAAUGCUGAGCAUCUUUCUCAUGUGCAAACCGUCCUUUUCCACAGAUGACAGUUUCAAUCUAGGCAAACCCUUCCGAGUAACAUCGACCAGAAUCCAUUUUUCAUCCCCUGUCAGUUCUUUUCAAAAAGGAUCCACUAGGAUUUAAAAAAAACUGCUUUCCAUAAGUAGUCCAUUGAACUUACAGAGUACAUCUCUUAGUCUUUCUAAAAUGGUCGGGUGAUCAUUUCUGGUACACAGAUGGCUCCGAAACCGAAUAUGGGUCAGCUGGUACUUAUGGAACUACAACAAGCAUAAUUGUGGCUAUUGAAUAGUGCCAAGGAGAUUAAAAGGUUCAAGAACCUUUUAUUUUAUGUGUGAAAGUAAUUGUUUUUUAUUAAAGUGAUUGAUUCCCUUCAUCAGUCUUGAGUUUCUCAGAUCUGGAAACACAUAAUUCAGAUCUGAAACGAAAAACUCAUCAGAUGGUGAGGGGAGGCGGAUGCCUCGAAAUCGAUCUUUAAUAAAAUUAUAGAGGGGUGUUGGUGGCCGCAAGGUUUAGUUUUUGACACGGCAUUCAUCAUUGUAAGGU